AUCGGUCGAGAGGAUGAAAUUCUUCUCGGAAAUUGAUAUAUGAAGUUUAUCCUGCUCCCGUGGGGUCAAACUUGCCAACAAUUUGUAUUCCGAGGAACUCAAUCUUGGGCUACAUUCCUUCCAUGGUAGCUUUGAUAACUUUGUUUGCAGCGUGAUUAUCCGCAUAUUUCGAUGCUGCGAGGGCGAGGGCCACAUCACUUGCCUCUCGCAAUCGGAGGCUGUGUAAAACCUUACGUGGUCUUCAGUCAAACCCAGUUGAGCCAGCUCAAACGGAGUUAAGCUGAGAAAAAAGCUUCGCUCGGUCUUCGACAGAUCCAAACGUGAAAUGUCGCAGUUCACUUGAGUAAGCUUUUUUUCGAUCUCUUUUAUCCCUCGAUUUCUUUCGCGGGGCUCCAGCCGUUGCUGUAACAAAUUUCUUUGGGAUUUUGAUGCCACGAGGAAUUUGUAUUCCGAAUCAGUUAUCCCUAGUUUUUUCUUUUCCUUGUCAUCGAUCUCUUUCAAGAAUUUCUUCUCCCCGCAAUCAAGCUCCAAAUACUUUCUAUCCUCGUGAGAAAUCUCCUCGAACCUUGACGUCAUUUGCUUCAUUAUAACCUGCCGCUUUUCCAACGGAUCGCUAACCAUAAGCUCCAAAUCCCUGUCCGUAACCGGAAGUAAUAGUCUCUCCGACGGGGAUAACUUCCUUAUCAAUUUCCUCUGUGCUUCAUUUAAUGUUAUAUUUCUGUGAUUGUCCGGUCCAAUUUUCUCCAGCCUCUUUCUAAGAUCGAUCAGGAAUUCCCGACGACCCUCGUAAGCCAGAAGUUUUCUCUUUUCACGAUCAGAGGCUACCAGAAACUUGAAGUCCGAAUCUGUAGUAGGAAGUAGAUCUUUUUCAGCGUCGGUCAGAGACUUCAGAAGGUGUUGCUCCUUCCUACUCAAAUGAAUUAUCUUCCUUUGAGUAGGACAAGUUUUCUGCAAAAACGAGUUGGGAUGUAGCUCCUUGGUGGCUGAAUUACAAUGAAAUCUAUAUGACUUGACCGAAUAAUUCGAACUCACUUGCAAUCGUGCCAUCAGCUGCCGAAAUUCGCGGCGUCGUUGGUCUCUGGAAUGAUCCUUGUGUGUUUCAAAUUUCUUUUUCAAAUAUUCGAUCGGCGAAAUCUGUCUCAAACCUAAGCCACAUCUAAAAGAAUUCCAGAAGGAACGAUCGGGGUCAGCGAGUGCGGCGAAACAGGAUCUGGAACCUCCUCCGCAUUGUCGGUCCUGUCGUAGCCAGGAUUCUUCGUCAAACUCUUGCCUGAAGCGACGAAUGAGUCCGUGGAUUGACUUAGAAAAAUGAGCGGCAAUCGAUAGGCUGAUGCGAUCGAGUGGAAAUUUUCUCAAACUACAUUACUCGAUCGUUAAAUCGUGUGGGCUCCAGGAUUGUGUACCGGAAAUUAGUAAAAUGUCCGCCUCGCAUUCUCGCGUACAAGAACUUAUAGCAACAAAGGCAAAGUGUGGUCAUCGAUAUGACCAUAACGAUCGUAAUCAUCAGCUUCUGGAAAACGGUUUGUGGUGGAAUACCAUCUGAACCAGUUUCAUCCAAGGCUGGUCUCGCAGGUUCGACUCUAAUGGAGUUUUCAUCGUCCUUGCGAAGUACUCUGAGAAACAAAUUAUCACCCCUUAAUAACAACUGCAGAAAAUUGGACUAGCAAAUAUCAGAAGAACAGUUUGUUUUUAUACAUGAACGUACGCCGUGCUUCCUCGCAUGUAAUUCUCCUCCCUAGUCAACUGACUCUGGUGAAUAAACUGGUUGCGUCCAAGCCAGUAGGCCAAAUCAUUCCUACCGAUUUCCUUCAGCGCUAACUCAACGCGGUGAUGAGCCUUCUCGGAUAGGUUUUGAGGGUUUUCAAGCCAAGAUAUUAAUAAACGUUCGCAAUCGAAUUUUCUCCGGAAUCUCGAGCUCCGAGAGAAAUCGGCACGUCGCUGAGGAUACGGCAGAAGAAGCAAUUUGUAAAAUAGUACACAUUCAUCUGGUCCAAGGUUACUUGACACGUACUCCAAUUCAGGUGCUAAUUGGAUUUGAUACGCUGCUGAGGUUACCUUAUGCGUAAAAAAUCGCUGGUCAGUACGUUUGGUGCAGAAGUUAAUGGCCUGUACAGAUUACCUGAAGCCAGAUGAUGAUGACACUCCAGCUACGGUUGAACGGUGUAAUGAAGUCAACCGAUCAUUUCCCCGCACAAGCGUUUAUUUCAGUGUACUUGAGGCGAAACUAUGCGGAUUUUAGACCCACCUCAGACCAUCAGAAUCGUGCCUUGAUGGAUUGCGAAUAAGAGGUAGACGAGAGUACCAAAAUAUGGGCCUUGAGAAAAAAAAAAGUCCUGUUGAGAAGUGAACAUUGGGUGACAAAUACGCGAUUUUAGAGGAAAUUUUUUUUCUUCAACCACUCUUGACUAAUUGGACCUCGAGGGGUUCGAAAAGGGUACUUAAACGGACGAACGACUGACAGCUGAGAAUAUGGGGAGAAAUAUUUGCUGGCCAAUCUAUCACUUUUGUUCUGCUGCUCGCAGCGACUAUAAACUACUAAUUGGAUCUCGAGGAGGAGUGCCAGAAAGUGCUCUAGAAAAAGCAAACGUCCAACAGUUGAGGAAGUAUAAAGAAAUUGCGUUGAGAAUUGGUUUUUACUCAUUUUAAUGGAUGUUACAUGAGAUGAAGACAAUACAAUAACAUACAUAAUACAUCACAACAUGUCAAAAGUGUGUUGCACCUGUUCACAUGACAAAACUUAUGCUCUACAUUAAGAUUAUGAUAAUAACUACGUAAUAUGAUGUUAUUCUUAUCCUGCCUAACAUAAGACAUUAUAGACUACACCUAUUUCCUCACAUAAUAAUUAGAAUUGUAGUGUCAUAUUCAAACAUAUUUUUGCUUAUGUCUUUGUCGUUUACUCUAAUUGUAUUUGUUAACUUAUGAUAACUACACACUCUAACUCAAACACUUGUACUAGAA